GACAGAGGGGGCAAGCGUUGCUCGGAAUUACUGGGCGUAAAGGGCUCGUAGGCGGGAUGGCAAGUCGGUCGUGAAAUCCCUCGGCUCAACCGAGGAACGUCGAUCGAUACUGCUGUUCUUGAGGAUUGCAGAGGAGACUGGAAUUCCCGGUGUAGCGGUGAAAUGUGUAGAGAUCGGGAGGAACACCGGUGGCGAAGGCGGGUCUCUGGGCAAUUCCUGACGGCUGAGGCGCGAAAGCGUGGGGAGCAAACGGG
rnacentral:rRNA from 1 species